GUGGGGAAUCUUGCGCAAUGGGCGAAAGCCUGGCGCAGCCAUGCCGCGUGAAUGAUGAAGGUCUUAGGAUUGUAAAAUUCUUUCACCGGGGACGAUAAUGACGGUACCCGGAGAAGAAGCUCCGGCUAACUUCGUGCCAGCAGCCGCGGUAAUACGAAGGGGGCUAGCGUUGCUCGGAAUUACUGGGCGUAAAGGGAGCGUAGGCGGACAGCUUAGUCAGAGGUGAAAGCCCAGGGCUCAACCUUGGAAUUGCCUUUGAUACUGGCUGUCUGGAGUUUAGGAGAGGUGAGAGGAACUCCGAGUGUAGAGGUGAAAUUCGUAGAUAGUCGGAAGAACACCAGUGGCGAAGGCGACUCACUGGCCCAAUACUGACGCUGAGGCUCGAAAGCGUGGGGAGCAAACAGGAUUAGAUACCCGGGUAGUCC
rnacentral:rRNA from 1 species